rnacentral:sRNA from 1 species
UGUUUUCAUUUGUGGGCUUCAAUGAGCGC